rnacentral:snRNA from 1 species
GGAUGUGAUCUGGCUGCAACAUCUGUCACCCCACUGAUCUCCAGGGUUGAUUCAGCUGAUCUGGCUGGCUAGGUGGGUGUCCCCUUCUCUCCUCAAGGCUCCAUGUGCAUCCCUCCCAAAGCUGCAAGCUCGGUCGAAGAGGACAGCCUUCCCCAAAUAGAGAUGAACCGGUGUAUGUUUUAUAUAUAUAUAUAUUUCCUUUAAAAGUGAUCCAUAAUUUUCAAUAUACAAGUCUUCCACUUUUUGGCUUGGU